rnacentral:rRNA from 1 species
CGUUUCGGAUUAUUGGGCGUUAAGCGAGCGCAGGCGGUUUUGUAAGUCUGCUGUGAAAGCCCUCAGCUCAACUGAGGAAGUGCAGUGGAAACUACAAAACUUGAGUACAGAAGAGGAAAGUGGAACUCCAUGUGUAGCGGUGAAAUGCGUAGAUAUAUGGAAGAACACCAGUGGCGAAGGCGGCUUUCUGGUCUGUUACUGACGCUGAGGCUCGAAAGCAUGGGUAGCGAACAGGAUUAGAUACCCUGGNUAGUCCA